rnacentral:lncRNA from 1 species
GGAAAUGCAAUAAAAAAACUUUCAAAUUCUACAUAAAGUCACUUAAGGUCCGUAAAUAAAACUCUACUUUUAUGCGGUUGUUUUUUUUAAACGUAUAAAAUAUACAGCAAACUACGAAGACUUACGUUCAAAAUAAAAUCUGUUUACCAAACUAAAACUUAUAUAAUAAAUUCAUAUUGUCAUAUUAGCAUGAGCUCAAAAAAACUUGGACGACCUGUGAAAGUUUUAAACAAAACUCGUGUUUAUAGUGGAAGAUUUGCUGGAUGAGCCUCUGGUUUACCCGUAAGCGAUCUACCAACUUAUAAACAGGUCAUUCAAUACGGUUACAAGGUUGAGAAAGAAUUGUUUAAUGGACAGAAACUUGACUCUGUAUCAAUCGUAACUAAAGUCAAUAGUGACUUGCAACAGCUUUGGUGUAGGGUUAAUCCAAAUCUACCUCUGAUAAAAGAUAAACCAUUGAAAAAUAAAAUAUCAAGAACAUUUUUAAAGGUGUUGUCUGCAGAACGAACUUAAUCUAAAAACCAUAAGUCCAGUAUAAGCUGGCUAGAAAAGAAACUGGAAACAUUGUUGUCUGUUUGCCGGUGCGAUCUUCCAAUUAUUGAUGAUUGUCAUGAUAGACGAAUUGGAUGUCGGAAAAGUAAUUGCACAAUAAAACACAUAGUUUGUCUCUGUGAGGAAAGUAGAAAGGUCCCUGUUCUGGAAAGAGAAUAUUUAAAGAACCAAAGAUGCAAGAUAGGACCAAAAGGAAGUUGGCAGUUAGGCAAUGUGGACCAUGUGGAGGCAACAAGGAAAGCCAAAAAGUAUAUUAGAGAGGAAAACGAGGCAACUAAAAAGCUAAUUAGACAAAAAAAUCUUCAAGAAACAUUAGAAGUCGAUUCAAAUGGUAGUUUUAGUGCUGAAUCUUCAAGUUUAGAUAAUAAGAUACAAUAAGAUGCAAUAAGAUACGAAGUAAGGGAUACUGCAGCAGCUGCAAUAGCAACAGCUGUAUUAAUUGACUACGGAAUAGUCCCAGCCGGCACAAUGCGUGUCAAAUAAAACCAUUAGUUCCUUACACGUGUUAAAAACUUUAUAAAUAACGCAUGCUUAACUUUAUAAAUGAACAGGUUCUAAACUCGUGUUAAUAAUUCCGUCAUUUAGAGUGAUCAACAGGAAUUUUUAUAAAUAAUAUAAAUUGCUAUAGUAAUUUAAGAAAGAAGACAGUAAACUUAAUUAAUAAUAAAUAUGAUAGAUAUCUCAUAGUAGCGCCUACUAAAUGGCAAAUUUUAUGUGUCCAUAGGAUGAGUUCAUUUCUUAUAAACUUAGAAACUUACGAAAGUUCUUAAGUUUAAGUUCAAACAUUAUUAAAUAUUGUUCAAAUAUAAAUUAUUUAACUUAGCUGAAUAUUAUAUAUUUAUUUAAUAUUAUUUAAUAAAUUUAUAAUUCAAAUUGAUUAUAUUUUGUAUUUGU